CAUUAUUUUACAAAUCAAUCUGCUUCAUCAGUGUCAGGAACAUGCUCAAAGUCAUCAAGUGUUGGCAAAAGAGAAGGCUUGGUAAGGUUAAUGUAGAAGCAGAGAAACUGAAAGCUCUGAGAUCUCUUAGGCAUGAAGAAGCAUGACACCUUUGUUUUGGAGAUGAUUCCAAAAUAUGCACAAAGAUCAUCAAAACCAGCUGGGACUAGAAGUAGCCACAGCUGCCCUCUGUCCCAGCAUUGCUUUCACGGACCUUGUUGAAGACCUCAUCCCUCACCUGCCAAUUUCAGCAGCUUCCUCAUGAGUGCUCCUUAUUUGAGCACUUCCUCCCUACAACUGCCAGAGUUACCCAUCUAAAAUGUAGGUGGGAGCAAGUGAGUCUCCUUCUUAAAACACUAUUGUCUUCCUCUGGGCCACUAGAUCUCAUUGUUUAAGGCUGAGCAAAACCUCUUGUAAUCUUCCAAGAAAGUUCCCUGGCCCCUUCAUAAUUGUUAGCCUGUCUCUUUCUCAUAUUACCCAGGGUGUAUAGCUGUCAUAGCCGAUGGGGAUCCUGAGUGAAAAUACUGAAGUAAAAGGGAAGGGAUGAUUAUACUAAGGAUUCAGAUGAAUGGCAAGCCCCCAAAAUUCUUCAAUGUAGGAGAAAUAGGAAAAAAUAAUUACAGAAGAACGAGCUGAGUUUGAAAAGGCUGAACUUUAAGCCUAAGAUUAAAAGAGAGCUAAAAACUUCUGGGAAACUGAAAAUGGCAUAGUGGAAUGGAAAUUAACAUUCGAAGCAACGUAGAAGAGAAUGGACAUGUGAAAAGAAAACAACAAUUGUUGAGGAAAAA